rnacentral:lncRNA from 7 species
AAAACGCGCUGUUGGGUUGUUCCUUCACAGGCGCUGUUGGCUGUCCUUCCUUGCGCAAAGCUUUUAUCGUCCUCAGUGCACGUUCCUUCAAGCGUUCGCUGUGCAACCCAGUGAUUCCUGGAUCUUUCUCACCUGUCACUACCAUUCCCUGCUCACUGUCUCCCAGCCUGAGGCGCAGGCUGAGUGGGUGCUGGGUAAAUCUCCAUGGGAAAAAACAUCAUCUGCUUCAGCUGCUGUUCAAAACUGAAAAUACCCUUCUCUGUGUUGGGACUUGAGGGCAUGAACAGACCUUAAUGGUUCUGACCAACUCCACCUGGGGCCUAAAUCUACUUUGCCUCUCACACCCUCCCAUGUGCCUGGGAGCCCCAUUUUGACCUAGCCUGGAGUUUUCAGUCCUUUUUUGAGCUAUACUUUAGGAGUGUGGGCCUCCAGUUCCACCAGAGCUCUGUCUAACCGCAGUCCUGCUUCCACCAUGGACCUGCUAAGCAACUAAUGUUCUGUGUCUCACUAUGGCUGCUGUUGUGGUGACUGAUCUUGAUUCUCUGGCUUUACCUUGCUCAGUGGAUUUGUAUGAUGAUCCAAACUAUAUACUGAACCUGGCUGCUAACAAGGCCUGCUGUGCUCAGUUGUGGUGAGGCUCUUGUUCUCGGCUCCAUGCCACACACAGAAUGGCCAGCCUUGCUGCUCUGAGAUCUUGCCUUCCUUCAAAUAACAAGGACUUUGCUAAACUUGGGAUGCUUGGAGAUGAAUUCAUGAUAUACAGGGAAGAUUUUUUUUCUUUUUGACUUUGUUUGAAAAUUGAAUAUUACUAUCAGAAAGCUGGAGAUUGAAAGAGACUAAUUAUGCUUCAGUAAUUGUAACUUUUGUCUCCAAGCAAAAAGAGAAGCGUAUAAAAGAUGACUAGAUCAACAGCUUCAUGGAGACCACUGUGCUGGAGGAAGCUCUGCAGUGCUUAGAGCAAAGCAUGGCCGGGGCACUGAAAGCAAAGCUUUUUUUCUUGUAGUAGAGGCCUAAUUUCUUGUACCUGGAUUAUGUGCUGAAUGGUGUGUUGCCUGUGAGUGACUGGCACUGGAUGACCAGCCUCUAUCUCUAAUUAGAGUGUUUUGUUCCUUUAUUUUUUUCAUCUCCUUCCAAUUCACCUUCAGGCAUUUGCUCAGUGAAAGGAUCUACUGAAUCAUACGAGGAGCAGUUCUGGAUGCAACACAAUUAUUUACCCUGUACAUCUUGCUUCUUUUACAGUUGGUGUUUAAUGUUGCAUGGAUGAGUGCAGACUGGCUGUUAAGAUCAAAUGAAAACUUAUGUACUCUCUUCUAUGCUAAAAACACUCACCGGUUUUAAUAGAAUAAAGCAAUUAUC